UCCCUCUCUCACUCUCGACUCACCCACAUCUCUCCCUCAUGCAUUGCCGGUGCUGGCGCCCUCUCCCCGCGCGCGUCGCCGGUGCUCGAUCUGCGGAGCUGCUGCUAAUGGUUUCCUGCCCGGAGCUGCUGCUGUCCGGAUCUGGUAGCUGCACCGGAAGAUGUUCUUCUUGAGCUGGGACCGCUUGUUGGUUUCGACUGGAAGAGGGAGGAGGUGAUGCCGGCCAAGUACCUGCAGGCAUUGGAGAGGAGAGGCGACCGGAGCUGCACCGGUGUCGACUGCGCGUGCCUCAUCCUCACCGGAAACGUGCCCUUCGGCCUCCCCAUCAGCCGCACAAUCGCCAUCUCCCUCGCCAAGGUCUGAAAGUCCCUCUAUGUCCAGCUCAAGUGCAGAGAUAUAGCGACGCAAAUCCUAGCUCCACGGAAAUUACUCCCGGGCUCCCCCCUCUACGUAAUUCUUCAUGCUUAAUCUGCCACUGCCAUUGUACAACAGCGUCAGAGGAUGAGACGGCGACGCCACCAGCGCUUGAAUCACUGCCCACCACUCCCACAAGAGGCAUCUUCCCCCAGGUUCUUUGUUGCCUUCUUCUGGUGGAGUGAAAUUGAGGUUUGGGACAACCAUGCUUGCAAUUGGGACAACGAUCUACUGCUGUUGCUUCUGUUGAGGGCCAGUGAUUUGCUACUAUCGAUGUUGAGGAUCUGCUGAUGUUGCUUCUAUUGAGGGCUAAUGAUCUGCUAUUGUUUCUUCUGUUGAGGAUCUGCUGCCGAAGGCAAGGAGCUACAAUUGAGGAUCUGCUACUGUUGCCAGGGGACAAGCCGGCAAGGAGCACCGAGCCUAGAGGUGGUCACGCAUGAGGAGCUCCUGAUCUUCUCCCCGGCCCCUGGCGAGAUGGACCUUCUGGCGACACGGGGAAGAAGGGAGGUGGUUCUGGGCGAGCUUGACCAUGCCGGCAAAUUGCUGCUGGGGCCAGCGGCCAACAAGGUGCUGCUGGGGCCGGCGGCCGGCAAGGUGCCCUCCUGGGCCGGCGGCGAGGUUCCUGGAUGAGCAAGAAGCUGGGCAGGGAGGAGGAGAUCCUGGGUGGAGGAGAAUCUCAGCGAGGUGGGAAGGGAGGAGAUCCUGGCGAGGAGAAUCUAGGCGAGGUGGGCAGGGAGAAGCUGGGAGGCGAGCCGGCGACGCGCUUGGAGGCGACACACUUGGCGAUGCGAUCCCGAUGGUUUUUGAAUUUCAAAUUGAUCGAAGGGCAUUGUUGUCCAUUAGCGAUUUUUGGGGGCUGUCGGAAAUCUCCUUCGGCGCCUUACAAAAGUGAACGGAGGGAGUAUUAUUUUUCCAAAACUAUUAAUGGCGCACCAAGGCACAGUGUGCCAUUACUAGUUUUAACUAGUAAUGGCGCAGCACACGCUCCGUGCGCCAGAACUAACACAUUUUUUUACUUUUUUUUCAAAACUAGUAAUGGCGCACCU